rnacentral:rRNA from 1 species
CUACGGGGUGCUGCAGUGAGGAAUAUUGGACAAUGGAGGAAACUCUGAUCCAGCCAUGCCGCGUGAGUGAAGAAGGCCUUAGGGUUGUAAAGCUCUUUCAAUGGCGAAGAUAAUGACGGUAGUCAUAGAAGAAGCUCCGGCUAAAUUCGUGCCAGCAGCCGCGGUAAUACGAAUGGAGCAAGCGUUGUUCGGAAUCACUGGGCUUAAAGCGUGCGUAGGCGGACAUGAAAGUCAGAAGUGAAAUCCCUGGGCUUAACCCAGGAACUGCUUUUGAAACUCCAUGUCUUGAAUCCGGUAGAGGUCAGGAGAAUUCCUAGUGUAGAGGUGAAAUUCGCAGAUAUUAGGAGGAAUACCAGUGGCGUAGGCGCCUGACUGGGCCGGUAUUGACGCUGAGGCACGAAAGCGUGGGGAGCAAACAGGAUUAGAUACCCGGGUAGUC